CAUUUUUGGGGCUAUGUCAUUGAAACUGUGAUGCCCUAACAUAGGAUGACGAAUCUAUGAAAGCUCUAGGGAAUUCGCCGUGAACUCCACCUCCACGCUUCCACCACCUCACUGCAGCCGCCUCUAACGGACGUCACGCACCACCUCCUUUCACAGCUUCGGCUCCCGUUCAAAACACCGUCCAGUCCACCAUUGCCAGAGAUAUAGAGGUGCUUUGAAUAAAGAAAGAUGAAUGGUAUUUGGAGAUCUCCAUGGAAGAGUUUUACUUGCUCGAGUCCAGGGUUCAUGACCUCAUUGAAUUCAUCCCUUCAUCAAUGGCGAGGGAUUCGGGUCAAAGUUAGAGACAGUAAUCUGGAGCAAGCACUGGCUUUUAUGCAGAGGAAAAUGCAAUCAAGCGGAAUUGAACGUUUGAUAAAGAAUGAACAGCUUUAUCAUAUCAAGAAUUCUGAGAAACGAGUCCUUGCUCGUAAGGCCCUUGAGAGAAAGUUAAGAUCAAAAGAACUUGCUCGCAAACUUCAGGCAGUCCUUGUUAAGAAAGUGAGGGGCAUGUAAACAGCAAUAAUGGUUAUCUUCUUCAAGAAUUUGUCUUCAUCUUUUGACAGACAGUUGCUAGUUUGAUUGGUCUUUUUUUUUACAUUUCAUGAUCAACUGAAAACAAACAUGCCUUAUUCUAAAAUGAUUUUAACAAUAGUGUUAGACUUGUUUUCUA